GGAUAAAUAACGUUUUGGUCACUGUACUGGGGUCCGGUUUUCAUUCUGGUUACCGAAAUUUUUUUCGUUACAAUCGAAUAACUGUACUUUCAUAUAUUACAAAAUGGUCACUCCGUCUAAUUUUCCGUCCAGAAACCGUUAAGAAUGUUGACUGUGCAAGUUGACUUGACUUUUUUGCUUACGUGGAGUACAGAAAAGACAAACAUGCGGAUUAUUAUAGCACAAAUGACCAAAACUAUUAACUACUUCACCUAAACAAUUUCAAAACUAAUA
rnacentral:lncRNA from 1 species